UACGGAGGAUGCAAGCGUUAUCCGGAAUGAUUGGGCGUAAAGAGUCCGUAGGUGGCAACUCAAGUCGAUUGUCAAAGAGCGAGGCUUAACUUCGCUAAGGCCGUCGAAACUGAGUCGCUUGAGAGCAGUAGGGGCAGAAGGAAUUCCUGGUGUAGCGGUGAAAUGCGUAGAGAUCAGGAAGAACACCGGUGGCGAAAGCGUUCUGCUGGGCUGCAUUCUGACACUGAGGGACGAAAGCUAGGGGAGCGAAUGGG
rnacentral:rRNA from 1 species